rnacentral:rRNA from 1 species
UACGUAGGGACCGAGCGUUGUCCGGAUUCAUUGGGCGUAAAGAGCGUGUAGGCGGCCAGAUAGGUCUGCUGUGAAAACUCGAGGCUCAACCUCGAGAUGUCGGCGGAAACCAUUUGGCUAGAGUCCGGAAGAGGAAAGUGGAAUUCCUGGUGUAGCGGUGAAAUGCGCAGAUAUCAGGAAGAACACCCGUGGCGAAGGCGGCUUUCUGGGACGGUACUGACGCUGAGACGCGAAAGCGUGGGGAGCGAACAGG